GACGAACGCUGGCGGCGCGCUUAACACAUGCAAGUCGAGCGAAGCGGCGGACGGGUGAGUAACACGUGAGUAACCUGCCUUAGACAUUGGGAUAGCCUCGGGCAACCGGGAUUAAUACCAAAUGGUCUAAGAUGGACUUGCGUCCCAUUAGCUAGUUGGUGGGGUAACGGCCCACCCAGGCGACGAUGGUUAGCCGGCCUGAGAGGGUGAACGGCCACAUUGAAACGUAGAAGCAGUCCGAACUCUGCGGGAGGCAGCAGUGGGGAAUAGUGCACAAUGGAGGGAACGCUGAUGCAGCGACGCCGCGUGAACGAUGAAGGCUUUCGAGACGUAAAGUUCUUUUAUAUGGGAAGCGGUACCAUAAGAAAAAGCCCCGGCUAACUACGGGCCAGCCGCCGCGGUAAUUC
rnacentral:rRNA from 1 species